rnacentral:misc_RNA from 1 species
UUUCCGUAGGUGAACCUGCGGAAGGAUCAUUAUUGAAACUUCAGCCGGCGCGCCUCGGUCCUCAGCCCCGGUGGACAUGCCGUGCUGGGUGGGCCGCGCGUGCACUCGUCCAAACCAAACCCCUGUGAACCUUACGGGAUGGCCCGGGUUAGCGCACGGUGCCGUUCCGCUCUGUAUAAACACUUAUCAAAGAAUGAACUGAAGGCAGUCUGACCGCAGAAUAACAAACUGAAACAACUUUCAACAACGGAUCUCUUGGCUCUG